rnacentral:rRNA from 1 species
CCUACGGGAGGCAGCAGUGGGGAAUAUUGGACAAUGGGCGAAAGCCUGAUCCAGCCAUGCCGCGUGUGUGAAGAAGGUCUUCGGAUUGUAAAGCACUUUAAGUUGGGAGGAAGGGCCAUUACCUAAUACGUGAUGGUCUUGACGUUACCGACAGAAUAAGCACCGGCUAACUCUGUGCCAGCAGCCGCGGUAAU